GUCCAUGCCGUAAACGUUGGGCGCUAGGUGUGGGGACCUUCCACGGUUUCCGUGCCGCAGCUAACGCAUUAAGCGCCCCGCCUGGGGAGUACGGCCGCAAGGCUAAAAACUCAAAGGAAUUGACGGGGGCCCGCACAAGCGGCGGAGCAUGCGGCUUAAUUCGACGCAACGCGAAGAACCUUACCAAGGCUUGACAUAUACAGGAAUAUGGCAGAGAUGUCAUAGCCGCAAGGUCUGUAUACAGGUGGUGCAUGGUUGUCGU
rnacentral:rRNA from 1 species